CUCACCUCCUCUUCCUCUUUUUCUAGAGCAUGGCCUCGAUCUGGAGCACGAGAGGCCAGGAGAGUGCAUCCUUGAUCUGGAGAAGGGGAGCAGCCGCCGGCCGAUUCUGGCACGCUCCAGCGACCCCGGUGGCCAUCCAGCACCUUCCCGUGCUCUCUUAUCGUCUUGGCCUCCCCCGGAUCCUGGUUCUGCGCCUCCACUGGCUCACCGUCCACCUUCUCCUCCACCUUCCCUAGCUGAUCUGCUCGACCUCAUCGUCGGUGCUCAACAGGGGAAGCACGAGCAGCAGAUGCAGUUGAGCAUCCGCCCGGUCGCAGCUCGGCUUCAGUUAAGUCGCCGCCGCCUCCGGGACCGACAUAGCAGAGGAGCCAUGGAGGGCGUUGGCGGCGCUUGAUUCGAUGUAGCGCCAUGGAUCAGUCCCUGCUGCAGGAGAGAGAGAGAGAGAGAGAGAGAGAGAGAGGGAGAGGGAGAAGGAAGGAGAGGAGGGAGAAAGAGAAAGGAUAGAGGAGAUGGAGGUGCGUCGUCCGGCAUCGGCCUGCACUGAUACGAGGAUGAAGAUUGGGAUUGUGUAUUUUGGAUGCAAUAUCCCACGGAUAUGGGUUACCUUCCAGAGUGAUAGAGUUGGUCACAAUAAAAUAUGAACCAUGUCAAAGGAUGAGGCUUGUUUAUAUUAAAUCACAAGAACUCCAUGAGCUUGCUUGGUUACUCUGGAGAAGGGCAUUCUUUCAAGGAGCUGUAAAUUUUUUGUAUAUGCUCUCUGUUGGGCACUUUUUUCAGUAUGUACGAGAUUUGUUGAGAAUGAGUGAAAAAAUCGACCAUCUGGUGGAUUUGUUCGGUACUCAGACAGAGUGAAAGCAGAGACCGAAAGUUUACGAUUUAGAUGAUUUGGAGGUGCCAUGUCAAUCUUCUUACCUCCAUAUCAAAACGGAUCAGAUGAUUUAUUGCUUAAGGGCAUGCUCUUAUUCUCUGAGAUGGAUGAUGAUGAGCGAUUGAGCGGUGCAACUAAAAAUUCAGAGCUGGGCUUUACACACUUCAGUGGGAGUAGCAUGGCAACACCAAGGUAGAGACCUGAAGACAAGCAAAGGGGCGGACCAAGGAAACUAGAGCCGCGUUGUCGUGAUGUGAGUCGUGUCGUCUUCGUCCAUCUCCAUGGAGGACCUGCUCGACCAAACUGAACAUUCAGUCAUUGUUUUCACCUGGGAUACACCAUCAGUAUCAACACUGGUAAAAAGAAUCCAAUCAAAACAUGAUGUUUUUCCCUUGGCUACAUGUUUAUUUGAAGGAAACCAUUCAAUUCUCAGUGAUCUUUCUUUAUGCUCCUUAUUGCCAUUUUUCCUAAUGCGCCUAUAGAAGUGAUUUAUCAGGUCUUUUGGUAUAUUAUCUUAUAAGGGAAUGCCAAAGUUUGUUGGAUUGUGAAUUCUCUGGUCAGAAUCGGUUGUUUUUUUCCCUUGUGUUCAUUUAUUUCUCAGAUUGCAGAACAGAUGAGUGUAGACUAAGUUGAUGAUCUACAGGUGUUGCUCCUCUCCCCUGACCACAUCACCAGCGCCCCUGCCAUCCUCCAAGCCCAUGGCCAGUGGCUCCCCAAGGCCAAGCUAUGUCAGGCUGUAGCAACAAGAUUGCAGAACAGACGAGUGUAGACUAAGUUGAUGAUCUACAGGUGUUGCUCCUCUCCCCUGAUGUGUAGUGCAACUAUAAAUAGGGAGGGAAUUGCUUGAGGAGAGCUCUCUUGCUACUGUUCUGAGCUCACUCUUUGACUAAUCUAAAUGCUAUCUCUGCUCACCGAUCAAUCAAGGAAAGCACUGAAAUAUCAGCAAGGACCAGCACAAAAAGAAGGGAGAAUAAAUGGGACCAAUUAAGUUACUUGUGUUUAAGAGUACACUACUUUUGACUUUGGAGUCACACUGGUGAAUGGGGCGUCGCAUGAUCUAUGCUGGAGGUGUUCACAUAUAACAAGUUCACUAUUUGUUCCAUUGGUCAGUUGUAUAAUCUGUGGGCGUAUUUAAGUUGAACUAUGCUCCUUUCUUGGUAUUUGGAGACAAGAUAUUGGCAGUUUUUACGUUACCAGACUGUUUAUUAGUUAUCUGUAGUUUUGUAACGCUCUCCAUUGUCAAUGGAAGUUUAGAUUCUUCAGGAAGAAUGGGUCUUGUAUUUAUAUUAUUCAAUUGUGCAAUAAUCGAUUGAUAACAGAAGAUAGAUACUUAAGAAGUUUACAGAUUUGAGUAUGAAAGUUUCACCCCGGUGAGUGUGGUAUUGAAUCAUAACUCUAAUUGUGGUUUAGUUUAUUCUAGGUUACCAGUACAGAGUAUGAACACUUGUAGAGUUUAAAUGGUAAAGUAGCAAAACAGUAUUUUGUACUUGGUUUAUACUCCGUGCUUCAUAGCUUUAUCAUAACCAGUUACUCCCUUGGCCA